rnacentral:lncRNA from 1 species
ACAACUUAGGAAGCUUACGAAUCUUUCUCUAGUUUUCUAUGUGUUCUGUUGAUAUCUCAGUGCAACUUUUCUACAGCACUCACCUAUACGACAAUCUUGCGGCAUCUUGAAGUUAACAAAUCCUGCUCGAGUUUCCAAUGUGGUCUAUAACUUGUUUUGUGCAACUUGGUUUACAGGUUAGGAGCCAGCCCUUCAGAUCUUCGGAGUUUCGAUAUUGAUAACCAUAUAGCCGUGUGAGGUUGAAAGGUUCUAAACCUUUUGCGAUUGAGGAGAAUGGUUUUGGCAUACAACAGGCGCGCGCGCACACACCAUUGGAGCCUUGUUUGGCGCCUCCCUGCACAUUGGAACAGAUUUAAAGUAGGUGCUGGAACUGUAAAUGAUUCGGUAUCAAAAAGGCUGGUUUAGCCAUUUUAGGAGAUUAUGCGUUUCGAUUUCAUGGGAGUUGGGAGGACAGAAUUGUAUCAUAGUGCAGUAACUCUUGGUUGUAGGAUUG